rnacentral:rRNA from 1 species
GACGAACGCUGGCGGCGUGCUUAACACAUGCAAGUCGAACGAUGAAGCCGGAGCUUGCUCCGGUGGAUUAGUGGCGAACGGGUGAGUAACACGUGAGCAAUCCGCCCUUGACUCUGGGAUAACUGCGGGAAACUGUAGCUAAUACCGGAUACGACACCUUGGGGCAUCCCAGGGUGUGGAAAGAAUUUCGGUCAAGGAUGAGCUCGCGGCCUAUCAGCUAGUUGGCGAGGUAAUGGCUCACCAAGGCGACGACGGGUAGCCGGCCUGAGAGGGUGACCGGCCACACUGGAACUGAGACACGGUCCAGACUCCUACGGGAGGCAGCAGUGGGGAAUAUUGCACAAUGGGCGAAAGCCUGAUGCAGCAACGCCGCGUGAGGGAUGAAGGCCUUCGGGUUGUAAACCUCUUUUAGCAGGGAAGAAGCGAAAGUGACGGCACCUGCAGAAAAAGCACCGGCUAACUACGUGCCAGCCGCCGCAGUAA